rnacentral:hammerhead_ribozyme from 32 species
CGUUGCUCUCGGAAUGUGUAUUCCGACUGAUGAGUCCAAAAGGACGAAAGCAGAA